GCGGAUGUGGUGGAAAUGGUAGACACGCAAGAUUUAGGUUCUUGUGACUUAACUGUCGUGGGGGUUCAAGUCCCUUCAUCCGCACCA
rnacentral:tRNA from 1 species